GACGAAGGAUGCAAGCGUUAUCCGGAUUCAUUGGGUUUAAAGGGCGCGUAGGUGGCCUUGUAAGUCAGCGGUGAAAUCUCUGGGCUUAACCCAGAAAUUGCCAUUGAUACUGUAGGGCUUGAGUACAGUUGCUGUGGGCGGAAUAUGACAUGUAGUGGUGAAAUACAUAGAGAUGUCAUAGAACACCGAUUGCGAAGGCAGCUCACAAAACUGUAACUGACACUGAGGCUCGAAAGUGCGGGGAGCAAACAGG
rnacentral:rRNA from 1 species